CGAAUGCCCUCUCGCCUCGACUAGCUUACACUUGUCUUUUCCUCGCCAUUUCACGCACUCCCUUCCUCGAAGUUUCUUUGCUUUUCCUUUUAGCACCCAUCGAUCAGUCUCGCUUGAAACAAACUUCUUCUUAGCAUCCUCUUCCAGCAUAUACAGUCUCUCGCCCUCUCUCUCAGAUGGCUUCAUCAGCUCUAAUCUGCGACACCCGGCCAUGGAAGAACUUGAAGGCCCAUGUUGAAGACAUUAAGAAGACUCAUUUACGCGAUUUGUUGAGCGACACUGAGCGAUGCAACUCAAUGAUGGUCGAGUUUGAUGGAAUCGUGCUUGAUUACUCACGGCAACAAGCCACUGUUGACACUGUGGAUAAGCUUUAUAACUUGGCAGAGGCAGCGCAUCUCCAGGAAAAGAUUCAUCGUAUGUUUAAUGGGGAGCGUAUCAACUGCACAGAGG
rnacentral:misc_RNA from 1 species